UGUUCUGUGGCUUAGUGGGUUGAUGCGCUGGAUUAGCGAUACGGAGUCGUGGGCCCGAAUCCCACCAAAGCAA
rnacentral:tRNA from 1 species